ensembl:lncRNA
CCAGUCUUCUUCUGAUCCAUCCUCAGUGUCUUCAAAGGAUAGUCCCAUGGACUUCCACAGCUGGGAGGUCUCCUCCUGUAUUUUCUCACUCCCCUCUUGUCUCUCCUUUCCUUUUUGCCUCUGGUCCUCAUGUCCCUCCCUCUCCAUUUCUUUGUGUAUUUCAAUUUUUACCUCUUUUUUUCGCUCCAUCUCCACUCUCACUUUCUCAAUCUCCUCUCUCUUUCUCACUAUAUCUGCUUUAGCUCUCUCCAUGUCUAUCCUUCUUUCCUGUUCCUCUCUUUUUUGCUCUGUCUCCACUCUCACUUUCUCAAUAUCCUGUCUUCUUUUUUCUAUCGCCUGUUUCUCCCUCUCCAUUUCUUUGUAUCUUUCCAUCUCUGAUCUCCUUCUCUCCACUUCCUUGUUUCUCCACUUUUGCUCCAUCUCCUCUCUCUUUCUCACCAUCUCUGCUUCAGCUUUCUCCAUCUCUAUCCUUCUUUCCUGUUCCUGUCUUUUUUGCUUUUCCUCCAUCCUCACUUUCUCAAUCUCCUUUCCCUUCCUCUCCAUCUCUGCUCUCCUCACCACUUCCUCUUUUCUUAGAAUCUCAUCUUUUAUUAGCUUCACUUCCUUCUCCAGUCUCCCCACCUCCUUCCUUGUUCUCUCCAGCUCCAUCCUUCUUCUCUCCAUCUCACUCUUUCUCUCUAUCCCUGUUAGCCCCCUGUUCAUCUCCAUCCUCACCUUCGCU